UAAUGGUGGGAACUCAAGGGAGACUGCCGGUGACAAACCGGAGGAAGGUGGGGAUGACGUCAAGUCAUCAUGGCCCUUACGAGUAGGGCUACACACGUGCUACAAUGGCAGAUACAAAGUGAAGCGAACUCGCGAGAGCCAGCGGACCACAUAAAGUCUGUCGUAGUCCGGAUUGGAGUCUGCAACUCGACUCCAUGAAGUCGGAAUCGCUAGUAAUCGUAGAUCAGAAUGCUACGGUGAAUACGUUCCCGGGCCUUGUACACACCGCCCGUCACACCAUGGGAGUGGGUUGCAAAAGAAGUAGGUAGCUUAACCUUCGGGAGGGCGCUUACCACUUUGUGAUUCAUGACUGGGGUGAAGUCGUAACAAGGUAACCGUAGGGGAACCUGCGGUUGGAUCACCUCCUUA
rnacentral:ncRNA from 1 species